GACCUCAAAUCAGGUAGGGCUACCCGCUGAACUUAAGCAUAUCAAUAAGCGGAGGAAAAGAAACUAACAAGGAUUCCCCUAGUAGCGGCGAGYGAACCGGGAUWAGCUCAAAUUUGUAAUCUGGCGUCCUCCGGGCGUCCGAGUUGUAAUCUAUAGAAGCGUNUUCCGUGCCGGACCGCGUCCAAGUCCCUUGGAACAGGGYRUCAAAGAGGGUGACAAUCCCGUGCUUGACGCGACGACCGGUGCUCUGUGAUACGCUCUCUACGAGUCGAGUUGUUUGGGAAUGCAGCUCAAAGUGGGUGGUAAAUUCCAUCUAAAGCUAAAUAUUGGCGAGAGACCGAUAGCGAACAAGUACCGUGAGGGAAAGAUGAAAAGCACUUGGAAAGAGAGUAA
rnacentral:rRNA from 1 species